rnacentral:rRNA from 1 species
UACGUAGGGGGCGAGCGUUGUCCGGAAUCAUUGGGCGUAAAGCGCGUGUAGGCGGCCCGGUAAGUCCGCUGUGAAAGUCCAGGGCUCAACCCCUGGGAUGCCGGUGGAUACUGUCGGGCUCGAGUCCGGAAGAGGCGAGUGGAAUUCCUGGUGUAGCGGUGAAAUGCGCAGAUAUCAGGAGGAACACCAAUGGCGAAGGCAGCUCGCUGGGACGUGACUGACGCUGAGACGCGAAAGCGUGGGGAGCAAACAGG